CAUCAGUACUGCGCAUGUGCUUACAAAUCAUCACAUCGACGCGCACGUGGAAGUGAUCGCCGCGGGAAAACUGAGUUUGUCUAGUUCCUCCAUGGUUGUGAGAGGAAAGACCUCAUCCUCGCUGUCCAACACUGGAGCACUGGAACGGUUGUUUGCUGCAAGGGACUGGACCACUGAAGUCAGAUGAUUGAUCUUCAUGUCCAGUUCAUUAAGUGCCUCCAGAAUUGUCCUCUCAACAGCUGCAACACAUUAGAUGGGUGUUCACCCCAAGCAUCUUCUUGCUCAUUUUCAUUGGACAAGCUCACUGGAACAGCUGGAGUUAAGAAAGGUGAAGUUGAUGGGUGUUCUUCCCAAGUUUCCAGCUGGCGGUCUGAAUGAGAGAAGCUCAUUGACAUUACAAAAGGUGAGUGUUCACCCCAAUGAUCUUGUGGCUCAUCUGCCUGGGAGAAGCUCAUGGGAACAUCUGGAGCUGAGAAUGAUGGAACUGUACUCAUGUAGAGCCUGUUACCUCGACAGCUGGGGAACGUCUCAAAACGGGCCUGCUCUGGCUUCUCCAUGGCCCUUUGGUGGUGAUUAACAAGUGCUGUUGAAAGAAUUGAGGUGCUGGAGGUUUUGGUGCAGGCGGGACUUUUGGUGCGGGCUGGAUUUUUGGUAAUUUUCAGAUUCUGAGAUGUCAGAAGUGUAGCAUGCCCUUUUCCAUUUUUUGGAAAUGUUGUCAAAUGAUGCUGAAAUUAUCAAAAAUUCUGGCCUGAUGCUUGGUCCAACCCUUAUCUGGCUGUGGUGCCUCCAUCAACCUGACGCUCUUUAGUAACCGGUCCAAGUCUUUGUAUGGAGGCCACCAUGAGUGGCCAUCUGAGUACCAGGACUUUGCUACAGGACCGGUACUCCCUUCUCCGACGAACUCCACUAUCAGACUGAGAGUUCCUUUUUUUAUUAUUAUAAAUUGGGCAACCCCAUAGGUGGCGAUGUACGCGCGCGAGUCGCCAAUGAGCCAAGGGAUGAAGAAGUCCUCAGGGCAAGAUGUGGUGGAGUUAUGAUUGAGAGUGCAAUCUAUUCUGCUUACCCGACUCAUGCAGACUUCUGUCCUGAUGUUUGGCUGUAGUCCUUCCAUCAUCCAGUCUUUUGCAACCGGUCUAUUUAUGGAGACCACCAUGAUCUAAUCUAUACAGAUCUAGUUGUCUCUUCUCCCACAAACUCCUCUUUCAGAUUUUGAGCGGAUCUCCUUCAUUCUGCAGCCAGCUCACCAGAACCUCUGGGUGCACCAGCUGUGGAUAUUACAGGCCAAACUUUGGACACCCUAGGACAACAUCCUUAGCACAGAUCUACCUAUAGCCCUCCAUCAUUCCCACAUCCAUCUUGCAACAGUUUCAUUAACUGCAGUCCAUAACCAGUUCACGGUCUACACCUUGUCCAUUGCAAAUGUUAUGGAUUAUUCUAAUAAAGAUCUUUCUAUUAUUUUUUUUGAGACAGUUAUUAUGUACUCUGUUAUGUUGUGAAUAAAGUCAGCCCCCCCACCUCGAUGCUUUCAGCAGUUAAUAGAUUAAAGUGUGUCCUUAAUGUUUUAUUAUUUAAAGAUUGUUUUAAAGUUUAUUACAGGCUCAGUUUAUUUUUUUUCACUAGAAAAUAAAGUGGAGUAUUAACUGUCAUAAUCAAGUAUGAGACUUUUGUCAGUAUCAUUAAUUCUAUGAGGCAAUAUGAAUCAAAUUAACAUUUGUAUAGGGUUUUCAUCCGAAGGCUUCUUCCUUAUUCAGUUAAACAUCAAGGGUUUUCUAUGCCUUUGUCACCUUUUACUUUCUCAUUGGAAAUUAUGAGCAUCAUUAUUUGGAAGAAAAUAAGAAUAUGAAAAUGGCUUUGAUUUCAAUGUAUUGAAUGGAAUCAAAGAACCACACAAACCUUUGACCUUCACACAGACAUUGUAUAAAUUAAAGUGUUACUCAAAUUA